GACGAACGCUGGCGGCGUGCUUAACACAUGCAAGUCGAACGGAAAGGCCCUGCUUUUGUGGGGUGCUCGAGUGGCGAACGGGUGAGUAACACGUGAGUAAACUGCCCUUGUCUUUGGGAUAACAUCAGGAAACUGGGGCUAAUACCGCAUAGGAGAUUCUGCUGCAUGGUGUGGGUUGGAAAGUUUCGGCGGUUGGGGAUGGACUGGCGGCUUAUCAGCUUGUUGGUGGGGUAGUGGCGUACCAAGUGUUUGAAGGGUAGCCGGCCUGAGAGGGUGGACAGCCACAUGGGGACUGAGAUACGGCGCAGACUCCUACGUGAGGCAGCAGGGGGGAACAUUGCACAAUGGGCGGACGCCUGAGGCAGCGACGCCGCGUGCGGGAUGACGGCUUUCGGGUUGUAAACCGCUUUCGCCUGUGACGAAGCGUGAGUGACGGUAAUGGGUAAAGAAGCACCGGCUAACUACGUG
rnacentral:rRNA from 1 species